rnacentral:rRNA from 1 species
UAGCUCUUGGAAACGGGUGGUAAUGCUGGAUGCUCCAACUUGACGCAUGUCUUGUUGGGAAAGUGUUUAGUGGCAUGGGAUGGGGUCGCGUCCUAUCAGCUUGUAGGCGGGGUAAUGGCCCACCUAGGCUUCGACGGGUAGCCGGCCUGAGANGGGCGGACGGCCACAGUUGGGACUGAGAUACGCCCAGACUCCUACGGGAGGCAGCAGAG